UACGAAGGGUGCAAGCGUUACUCGGAAUUACUGGGCGUAAAGCGUGCGUAGGUGGUUUGUUAAGUCUGAUGUGAAAGCCCUGGGCUCAACCUGGGAAUUGCAUUGGAUACUGGCAGGCUAGAGUGCGGUAGAGGAUGGCGGAAUUCCCGGUGUAGCAGUGAAAUGCGUAGAGAUCGGGAGGAACAUCCGUGGCGAAGGCGGCCAUCUGGACCAGCACUGACACUGAGGCACGAAAGCGUGGGGAGCAAACAGGAUUAGAUACCCUGGUAGUCCACGCCCUAAACGAUGCGAACUGGAUGUUGGGUGCAAUUUGGCACUCAGUAUCGAAGCUAACGCGUUAAGUUCGCCGCCUGGGGAGUACGGUCGCAAGACUGAA
rnacentral:rRNA from 1 species